GAUGAACGCUGGCGGCGUGCUUAACACAUGCAAGUCGAACGAAGCACCUUGAUUUGAUUCUUCGGAUGAAGAUCUUGGUGACUGAGUGGCGGACGGGUGAGUAACGCGUGGGUAACCUGCCUCAUACAGGGGGAUAACAGUUAGAAAUGACUGCUAAUACCGCAUAAGACCACAGCACCGCAUGGUGCAGGGGUAAAAACUCCGGUGGUAUGAGAUGGACCCGCGUCUGAUUAGGUAGUUGGUGGGGUAACGGCCUACCAAGCCGACGAUCAGUAGCCGACCUGAGAGGGUGACCGGCCACAUUGGGACUGAGACACGGCCCAAACUCCUACGGGAGGCAGCAGUGGGGAAUAUUGCACAAUGGGGGAAACCCUGAUGCAGCGACGCCGCGUGAGCGAUGAAGUAUUUCGGUAUGUAAAGCUCUAUCAGCAGGGAAGAAAAUGACGGUACCUGACUAAGAAGCACCGGCUAAAUACGU
rnacentral:rRNA from 1 species